AUGGAGGACAUCAUAAGAGGCACCCUUCCCCAUCUGGAUAGUAAGACUGUGGAGACUAUAGUUAAAGAUUUUCCCUCAUUGGGAGUAAGGGAGAUUAACAAAUUUAUGUACAUCAAAGAGGAUGACAUCAGACAUCUGUCCAUAGUUGAUUGCAGAAAACUACUACAAAGAUUCAACAACAUAGAUAAUGGAGCCCAACAGAACAAUCUGCUAAGAGACUCUGCUGCUUCUGACAUGAUAACACUGACUCUUAAACCAAUGUCUUCAUUAGAAGCCUCUUCAAGCACACAGUUUGCACUACCAGCUCAGCACUCUACCCCUGUGCAGCACAGCACCUCGCACCCAACUUUCCAAGUACCUUGGGACAAGACCAGACCAGGUCUAAGAACAUUACUUGAACUGGACUUGGACACUUGGACACUUCACUUUGUGUUCACAAUUUUUGUGUUCAAAUUACAACCUGAACAGGAACAACACCCCUGCACGCCUAAGAAAACCAAAAAGGCCUGCUGUAAUGGUGGAGAAUAGCCAGCCAGCACCACCCAGAAAAUGUGCAAAACUCUGAAAAAAAUUGAUGAUAAUCACAUAUGAGGCCCAGCAACGUGCCAUCGAUGCAUCACCUGCACCUAGCAUUAACCAACUAAAGACUGAUUGGCCUUUCCUGAAGAGUUCUUUCCUUGUUCAUGAAGAGAUUUCUGAUCCAGAAUUCCAGUACACUUACAGGCAUUGAAUUAGAAGCAAGACUCAGGGAGUCCAUCACUGGAAAAGGAAGAAAGGUUCUCCAUUUCUUCAAGUCUCAAUUGCUGCGCUGGAGAAAAGAGGUGAGGACAGUCCUUGCAGACAUAGAAAGAGAAUCUAGAGAUGUGGAUCCUGGCCUUGCUGCCAUUUGGUGAUAAUGGCAAUCUUCAAAGAAAAAGAAGAUUCACUUUUCCUUCUGGCUGAUGUAAGUACAGUAAUUGUUUUAUGAUACUGUCAUAACAUACAGGUUUUUAGAUGUUUGAUUAGUUUGUUCUUUGUAAUUUACUGUUGGGAAAUUGAAACACUUUAAUCUAUUAGUUUAGAUUGCAAUAAAAAAAUUAGACUACAAUAACA
ensembl:lncRNA